rnacentral:lncRNA from 1 species
GAUAGGAAGAUGCUGUCCAGAGGUAUACCUUGCUAACUCUUUCCAGCUGAGUGAGAAGGAAUACAUGUAUUUGAGAAUUUGGGAGGACAUGAAGAAGACUGCAAACUGGUGAAAAUAAAUUUGGCAUAGAUGUGGCAGUCUUGAUUACAGACAAAAAUGAAGCAGCGAAGUGUGUGCAAGGGAAAGUGACCCACUGUCUACGAUGUGAGGAAUUAAAAUGAAAAAUAAGAAGGGAGCAGCUUGGCAGCUGCAUAGACAUGUCUCCAAUCAAGUGCAGACAGGCUGAUCCGCAUGGGCUCCCAGGCAACGGGAUCCAGGCCAGCUAA